rnacentral:rRNA from 1 species
CUAUACAUGACUCUGCGCAUAUCAAUAAGCGGAGGAAAAGAAACUAACAAGGAUUCCCCUAGUAACGGCGAGUGAAGCGGGAAGAGCUCAAAUUUGAAAUCUUAAAGGGUUUCCCUUUACGAAUUGUAGUUUAAAGAAGUGUUUUCUGUUGAGGUUUUGGUAAAAGUUCUUUGGAAUAGGACAUCAUAGAGGGUGAGAAUCCCGUAUUUGACCUUUACUUUCAACUUUGUGAUACACUUUCAAAGAGUCGGAUUGUUUGGGAAUGCAGUCCAAAAUGGGUGGUAAAUUUCAUCUAAAGGCUAAAUAUUGGCGAGAGACCGAUAGCGAACAAGUACCGUGAGGGAAAGAUGAAAAGAACUUUGAAAAGAGAGUUAAACAGUACGUGAAAUUGUCAAAAGGGAAGCGUUUGACACCAGUGUUGUUUUUCUGAAAAUCAAUUAAAGAACUGUUUAUGCUAAGUUGUUUAGACUUUAUCAGCUAACUGUUUAGUUUUGAGCUUUUCUUUAAUGCACUUUUCAGUUAACAAGUCAACAUCAAUUUCUUUUGCUGUAAAAAAGCUUGAGGAAGGUGGCUUGAGAUUCGUCUUAAGUGUUUAUAGCCUCUUGCCUAUGCAGUCGGAGAGAUUGAGGUCUGCAGCGUAGAUCCUUCGGGGCUAAAUGCAUUUGUGCUAAGUUAUAGCAUUUUAUAGACAACUUGUUGACUAUGAUUUGUCUUGUAGCUUACUCGCUUAUGUUAUUUUACCUACGCUUAGGAUGUUGACAGCAGUAUAGACUGU